rnacentral:rRNA from 1 species
UAAAGUAGAAGUGGCUGGAAUAAGUAGUGUAGCGGUGAAAUGCAUAGAUAUUACUUAGAACACCAAUUGCGAAGGCAGGUCACUAUGUUUUAACUGACGCUGAUGGACGAAAGCGUGGGGAGCGAACAGGAUUAGAUACCCUGGUAGUCCACGCCGUAAACGAUGCUAACUCGUUUUUGGGCUUUAGGGUUCAGAGACUAAGCGAAAGUGAUAAGUUAGCCACCUGGGGAGUACGUUCGCAAGAAUGAAACUCAAAGGAAUUGACGGGGGCCCGCACAAGCGGUGGAUUAUGUGGUUUAAUUCGAUGAUACGCGAGGAACCUUACCAAGGCUUAAAUGGGAAUUGACAGGUUUAGAAAUAGACUUUUCUUCGGACAAUUUUCAAGGUGCUGCAUGGUUGUCGUCAGCUCGUGCCGUGAGGUGUUAGGUUAAGUCCUGCAACGAGCGCAACCCCUGUCACUAGUUGCCAUCAUUCAGUUGGGGACUCUAGUGAGACUGCCUACGCAAGUAGAGAGGAAGGUGGGGAUGACGUCAAAUCAUCACGGCCCUUACGCCUUGGGCCACACACGUAAUACAAUGGCCAGUACAGAGGGCAGCUACCAGGCGACUGGAUGCGAAUCUCGAAAGCUGGUCUCAGUUCGGAUUGGAGUCUGCAACUCGACUCUAGAAG